UACGAAGGGGGCUAGCGUUGCUCGGAAUCACUGGGCGUAAAGGGUGCGUAGGCGGGUCUUUAAGUCAGGGGUGAAAUCCUGGAGCUCAACUCCAGAACUGCCUUUGAUACUGAAGAUCUUGAGUUCGGGAGAGGUGAGUGGAACUGCGAGUGUAGAGGUGAAAUUCGUAGAUAUUCGCAAGAACACCAGUGGCGAAGGCGGCUUUCUGGCCUGUUCUUGACGCUGAGGCGCGAAAGCCAGGGGAGCGAACGGG
rnacentral:rRNA from 1 species